AACGAACGCUGGCGGCAGGCCUAACACAUGCAAGUCGAACGCACCUUCCGGGGUGGGUGGCUGACGGGUGAGUAACGCGUGGGACUCUACCCUUCUCUACGGGAUAGCUCCGGGAAACUGGAAUUAAUACCGUAUACGUCCUGAGGGUGCAAGAUUUAUCGGGGGAGGAUGAGCACGCGUUGGAUUGGCUAGUUGGUGGGGUAAAGGCCUACCACGGCGACGAUCCAUAGCUGGUCUAAGAGGAUGAUCAGCCACAUUGGGACUGAGACACGGCCCAAACUCCUACGGGAGGCAGCAGUGGGGAAUAUUGGACAAUGGGCGCAAGCCUGAUCCAGCCAUGCCGCGUGAGUGAUGAAGGCCCUAGGGUUGUAAAGCUCUUUCAGUGGGGACGAUAAUGACGGUACCCACAGAAGAAGCCCCGGCUAACUUCGUG
rnacentral:rRNA from 1 species